rnacentral:misc_RNA from 1 species
AACCUUAUGGACCUGCGGGCGUAUACCUGCGGAGGGAUCAUUAUCAAAACAGCGGCCUUCGGGCCUUGCUGCACCCUUGUCUUUUGCGCACCGUAUUGUUUCCUCGGCGGGCUUGCCUGCCGGUUGGACGUUAUCAAACCUUUUUGUAGUUGCAAUCAGCGUCAGAAAAACAAUAAUUAUUACAACUUUUAACAACGGAUCU